rnacentral:rRNA from 1 species
UAGCGAGACAGUAGCGUUUUACCCUACUGAUGAAUGUUAUCGCAAUAGUAAUUGAAUAGCGUACGAUAGCAACAGUUCAUUCAGAUAAUUGGUUUUUGCGGCUGUCUGAUCAGGCAUUGCCGCGAAGCUACCAUCUGCUGGAUUAUGGCUUAGCGCCUCUAAGUCAGAAUCCAUGCUAGAAAGCGAUGAUUUCUUUCCCUCACACAUUUUAGAUGGAUAAGAAUAAGGUGCAUUUAUUGUACCGCUGAACCAUAGCAGGCUGGCAACGGUGCUCUUAGCGGAAAGGCUUUGGGUGCUUGCCGGUGGAUUGCAAUGUCAUUGUGCGUGAGGAUAAAUCAUUUGUAAACGACUUAAAUGUACAACGGGUAGC